UGCUUGAUGCCGCGUGAGUAAGAAGGCCUUUGGGUUGUAAAGCUCUUUUGUAGGGGAAGAUAAUGACUGUACCCUAAGAAUAAGGUCCGGCUAACUUCGUGCCAGCAGCCGCGGUAAUACGAAGGGACCUAGCGUAGUUCGGAAUUACUGGGCGUAAAGCGCGCGUAGGCCGUUGAGUUAGUUAAUUGUGAAAUCCCAAAGCUUAACUUUGGAACUGCAAUUAAAACUGCUCGACUAGAGUUUGAUAGAGGAAAGCGGAAUACAUAGUGUAGAGGUGAAAUUCGUAGAUAUUAUGUAGAACACCAGUUGCGAAGGCGGCUUUCUGGGUCAACACUGACGCUGAGGCGCGAAAGUAUGGGUAGCAAAGAGGAUUAGAUACCCUCGUAGUCCAUACCAUAAACGAUGAUUGCUAGAUGUUGGAAAUUUAUUUUCAGUAUCGCAGCUAACGCAUUAAGCAAUCCGCCUGGGGAGUACGAGCGCAAGCUUAAAACAUAAAGGAAUUGACGGGGACCCGCACAAGCGGUGGAGCGUGUUGUCUAAUUCGAUGCAAAGCGAAGAAGCUUAC
rnacentral:rRNA from 1 species